rnacentral:ncRNA from 1 species
AAAAGUUUUAUUUUAGCUUAAAUGUUGUAUUUAUUGGUGUUGUAUUAUGCAAGUAUUAGCUAUUAAUUUUUAAGAAAUUUUGGGCAGUUAUUAAUUUUUAAUAUUUAAUAAUUUAAGAUUAAGAUAACCAUAAAAAUUCAAACAAAGAUUGUGCCAGCAGUUGCGGUUAGACAAUUUGGGUUAUAUAAUAUUUUUGGUUCAUAGAAAAUUAAAUUUUUUUGAUUAUUUUUAUUAUUUUUUAGGUGAAAUUUUAAUUUUAAUUUAUUUUUUUCUUAUGGUUCUAUUAAAUUUUUAAUUAAACUAGGAUUAGAUACCCUAUUAUUUUAAAUGUAAUUUUGAUACCUGGUUAGUAUUAGUUAUGUUCUUGAAAACUAAAAAAUUUGGCGGUAUUUUAGUCUUUUCAGAGGAACCUGUUCCGUAAUUGAUAGUCCACGAUAGAUUUUACUUUUCUUACAUUAGUUUGUAUAUCGUCGUGAUUAACUGUUUUAAAAGAAUCUUAAUGGUUAAAAUAUUUUUUAAAAAGGAGUUCAGAUCAAGAUGCAGCUUAUAGGUUAGAGGAAAUGGGUUACAAUAAAUUUAUUUAUGCGGUUUAUAUAAUUAGUAAUUUUAUAUUAAGUUGGAUUUGAAUGUAAUUUUACUUAUUUUUUUAGAAUGAUUUAGCUCUAAAAUAUGUACAUAUCGCCCGUCACUUUCAUUAAGGUGAAAUAAGUCGUAACAAAGUAGGCGUACCGGAAGGUGUGCCUAGAAAGGCA